rnacentral:tRNA from 1 species
GGGGAUUUAGCUCAGUGGUAGAGCGCUUGCCUAGCAAACGCAAGGCCCUGGGUUCAGUCCCCAGCACCCCCC